rnacentral:tRNA from 1 species
GUCCCUGUAGCGCGAUGGAUAAUGCAUUGGAUUUCUAAUCCAAAAGUCGUGGGCUCGAAUCCCACCUGGGAUG